rnacentral:rRNA from 1 species
GAUGAACGCUGGCGGCGUGCCUAAUACACGCCAGUCGAGCGAACAGACGAGGAGCUUGCUCCUCUGACGUUAGCGGCGGACGGGUGAGUAACACGUGGAUAACCUACCUAUAAGACUGGGAUAACUUCGGGAAACCGGAGCUAAUACCGGAUAAUAUAUUGAACCGCAUGGUUCAAUAGUGAAAGACGGUUUUGCUGUCACUUAUAGAUGGAUCCGCGCCGCAUUAGCUAGUUGGUAAGGUAACGGCUUACCAAGGCAACGAUGCGUAGCCGACCUGAGAGGGUGAUCGGCCACACUGGAACUGAGACACGGUCCAGACUCCUACGGGAGGCAGCAGUAGGGAAUCUUCCGCAAUGGGCGAAAGCCUGACGGAGCAACGCCGCGUGAGUGAUGAAGGUCUUCGGAUCGUAAAACUCUGUUAUUAGGGAAGAACAAAUGUGUAAGUAACUAUGCACGUCUUGACGGUACCUAAUCAGAAAGCCACGGCUAACUACGUG